GAUGAACGCUGACAGAAUGCUUAACACAUGCAAGUCGAAGGGGAAGUGGUGCUUGCACCAUGGUAACCAUGGCGGACGGGUGAGUAAAGCGUAAGGAACUUGCCUGCUGGACUGGGAUAACAGCAGGAAACUGCUGAUAAUACCGGAUAAGGUCAUUAAGCUGCAUAGCUGAGUGAUGAAAGGAGACGCCUGCGGAGAGCCUUGCGUCCUCUUAGCUAGUUGGAGGGGGAGCGGCGCACCAAGGCGAAGAUAGCGAGCCGGCCUGAGAGGGUGGACGGCCACUAGGGGAGUGAGACACCGCCCUUACUCCUACGGGAGGGAGCAGUGGGGAAUAUUGGACAGUGGGGGCAACCCUGAUCCAGCAAUUCUGUGUGCACGAAGACGGUUUUCGGAGUGUAAAGUGCUUUCAGCAGGGAAGAAGGAAGUGACGGUACCUGCAGAAGAAGCGACGGCUAACUACGUG
rnacentral:rRNA from 1 species